rnacentral:rRNA from 1 species
GAUGAACGCUAGCGGAAGGCUUAAUACAUGCAAGUCGAGCGGUAGGUGGCUUCGGCCAUUGAGAGCGGCGCACGGGUGAGUAACGCGUACAUGACCUGCCUGUCAGAAGGGGAUAGCCCUGGGAAACUGGGAUUAAUACCCUAUGGUAUUGAUAUUAUGAAUGAUAUCAAUUAAAGUUGAGGCGCUGACAGAUGGAUGUGCGUCUGAUUAGCUAGUUGUAGGGUAACGGCCUACCAAGGCGACGAUCAGUAGGGGCGGUGAGAGCGUGGUCCCCACACGGGUACUGAGACACGGACCGACUCCUACGGAGGCAGCAGUAAGGAAUA